ACAUCUACAUGGAGCCGCUCCACUGGGAGUGAUUCCGUCGACAACGAGGCGCCUUCGAUGAGCUACUAUAAAACGACGGGACGAUCGAUCUUCGUCCAUCGCCACCCUGCUUUGGCUAUGGCGCCAUGGCGGUAGCACAAGCCAUGAACAGGUGGCUCUGCAACUUUGCAGAAUAGCUCCGAUCUUAAUCAUCUGAAAGUCAUUUGAGCCAUCCCCAUUCCCCACUGUAUCUUAAGACUGAGCUUUUCACAACUUACUCUACAUUUCCAAGUGUGUUAUUUCUAUGAAAGGAGGGAUGCUACCAAUUUUCCUGAUGCUGCAUCUGGUACUACCAUUGCUCUGCCUUGCAUCACCGGCUUUACCGUCGGAAACUGCCGAUGCAGUAGCUCUCAAAGACUACCCACAAGUGAAGUUCAGCACCGCUUCGGCGACCCCCGAGACGUACCGGAGCUUCAUCGCCUCCGUUCGUGCUGCUCUGGUGAGCAAAUCGAAGGGGAACAAGAGCAACGGGAUCCCAGUGCUCCUCAGCGAAGACGAUCCGCUUGCGCUCCAAACAUUUCUGAACAUCACUCUGACGAACACGGCGGGGCACUCCAUCAGCCUGAAAAUGGAUGUCACCGGAGCCUAUUUCUCAGCCUCUUGACGCAGGGAAGUACUCGUGCCUGCUCAAAAGAUCAGCAGGCCGCGCGUUCUCGUCGGCAAUCUGCUACAACGACCCAUGGUCAUCACGUUCAGUUGUGUUAGAAGCGACGGCGAACAAAAUAAUGAAAACAACAAAGAUCAAACUUCAAAAGACACAAAGAUUUAAAGUGGAAAACCCCUCCAAUGCGAAAGGUAAAAACCACGGGCGCCAGCCAGCAAGAACUUCACUAUAUCGGGUAUGUGUUUACAACACCUAACGGCGGCUUACAAGACAUAUCGUCUCCUCAACUUCUACUAGCAAUGUGGGAUUAAAAGUUUGUACCACAUGGGCCUUUGGGAUUUAUUUGGAAUAACUGAAAUACUUAAUGGGCCAAGCCCAAAUUCCAACAAUCUCCCACCAGAAUUUGGAUCACAAUAUAACAUACUCCACUUUGAGACAAAUUCCUUCUUGUAGCAUAUCAAAAUUACCACUGAACACAAUAAAGAAUAGAAGUUCUGGCGCCAAACAGCCUCUUGGGCUAAGCUGUCAAACCAAAUAAACUUGAACAAAACUCAAACUUAGCUACAGGAACUGGUUUAGUCAUCAUAUCAGCUGGAUUAUCAUGAGUACUGAUUUUGCAUACCUUCAAUUUACCUUGUGAAAUAACAUCACGAAUAUAAUGGUACUUAACAUCAAUAUGCUUUGUCCUUUCAUGAAACAUCUGAUCUUUGGUGAGGCAAAUAACACUUUGACUGUCACAGAAUAGAUCAAUGCAAGAAUCAACUCCACACAGCUCAGCAAACAAACCUUUCAGCUAAACUGACUCCUUGCACGCUUCAGCAAUAGCCAUAUAUUCUGCUUUUGUGGUAGACAUUGCAACAACAGGCUGCAAAGUAGCCUUCUAACUCACAGCACAACUGACAACAUUGAACACAUAACCUGUGAGUGACCCGCGCCUAUCCAAAUCAGGAGCAUAAUCUGAAUCCACAUAACCAAUGAGUCCCUGAUAAGUUCUCUCAAACUUCAAACAAGAAUCUGCUGUUCCUCUGAGGUACAUGAAAAUCCACUGAACUGCCUUCCAGUGUUCUUUACCAGGAUAAGACAUGUAUCUGCUAAUCAAACUCAUAGCAUAUGAUAAAUCUAGGCGAGAGCAAACUAUGGCAUACAUCAAAGAACCAACAGCACUAGAAUAUGAGACUUUUGACAUGUAUUCAACAUCCUCAUUAGAACUAAGACACUGAGCGGCUGACAAUUUAAAGUGAGGUGCAAUAGGAGUACUAACUGGCUUUGAAUCAUGCAUAUUGAAACGCCGAAGAACCUUGUUAAUGUAAUUAUGCUGACUAAGAAAUAAUAAAUCAGAUUUUCUAUC